AUGAGGGCCCCUGUGCAGCUCCUCAGCUUCCUGAUGCUCUGGCUCCCGGGUGCCAGGUGUGAUAUCCAGAUGACCCAGCCUCCAUCCAUGUCUGCAUCUCUUCGAGACAAAGUCACCAUCAACUGCAAGGCCAGUCAGGGCAUUGGCAUUGGGUUAGCCUGGUAUCAGCAGAAGCCAGGAGAAGCUCCCAGGCUCCUGAUCUAUGAUGCAACCAGUUUAGGACCAGGCUUCCCUCCGAGGUUCAGUGGCAGUGGAUCUGGGGCAGAUUUCACUCUCACCAUCAGCAGCCUAGAGCCUGAAGAUGCUGCCACUUAUUACUGUCAACAGAGUAAUAAUCUUCCUCCCACAGUGAUACAUGCCAGAACAUAA